rnacentral:rRNA from 1 species
AACGAACGCUGGCGGCAGGCUUAACACAUGCAAGUCGAGCGCCCCGCAAGGGGAGCGGCAGACGGGUGAGUAACGCGUGGGAAUCUACCCAUCUCUACGGAAUAACGCAUGGAAACGUGUGCUAAUACCGUAUACGUCCUUCGGGAGAAAGAUUUAUCGGGGAUGGAUGAGCCCGCGUUGGAUUAGCUAGUUGGUGGGGUAAAGGCCUACCAAGGCGACGAUCCAUAGCUGGUCUGAGAGGAUGAUCAGCCACACUGGGACUGAGACACGGCCCAGACUCCUACGGGAGGCAGCAGUGGGGAAUAUUGGACAAUGGGCGCAAGCCUGAUCCAGCCAUGCCGCGUGAGUGAUGAAGGCCCUAGGGUUGUAAAGCUCUCUCACCGGUGAAGAUAAUGACGGUAACCGGAGAAGAGGCCCCGGCUAACUUCGUGCCAGCCGCCGCGGUAACAC